GAAAAAAAAAACAGGCAGGUAUUCACAGGUCUCUGCUUUCUUCCUCUUCGCUCCCUCCUAUUGUUGCAGAUUCCCUCACUGAAAGAGGAACUUCAGAUUCUUUUUCAAAGGACCUUUACACACACACUAACACACACACCUGGACGAACUCACAGCAAAAAUUUAACCUCCACCGCCUUCAUUUGGAGACGCCAGCUCUGCGUUCUUCACUUUCCCCAGUGCAUCCUCCCUCCCCUCCACUCCCUCCUCUACGAUGUCCGCCCCACCACCUCAGCCGAGAGGCAUCGACUACAGCCUGCCCACCUGUGGAGACACUCAGUGCAAUAGCCGUGGCACCUGUGUGGUACCUCCUGGUGGCGGCGCCGGUUUGGUGUGCGACUGUGUGCUCGGCUACCGGGGAACCUCCUGCGAGGACACGGUCAACGGGGCGUUAAGUUUGCCGCUGACCCUGAGCGUGCUGGCCGUCAUCAUCGGCCUGCUGAUCGUGGCUUUCAUCUUUGCUAAGCUGAGGCAGAAGCAAAAGAAGAGGAAAAGGAUGCAUCAGGCAGAAAAACUUGGCUACAACAUCGUUGUGUAAUGUGGAUAAACAUUAUAUCUAAGGUGAACCAUGACACGGCGGUGUGUAGCUUCCAUCAGCAUUCUUCUGCAGCAAGCUUCCAGCACAUGUAUGACAUUCAUAUGAAGGGAAUCAGAUCUACUACUUUUGAGGCUGCUGCCCUGCUUCAGCUGAUCCUCCCAGAAGCUCAAGCUGAUGAGCUGAGCAUCCCCAAACACCUGAUUCACUGAGGGCAAAUUACACGCACGCAUCGCAGCACACUCAAGCUGUUAACUGACAGCAGAAUGUUUCCGAGCAUUUUAUUCAGGUUUAUAAGGUUUAUGAAGUCUUUACCUGGAGAACACAACAGAGACUUUAAUCUGAUGCCGUUUGCCAACUCUGCAACUGCAUUUAAGGAGUUAAAAAGUUAAGAAAUGGCAAAUUUCCAUAGAAAAAUUCUAUGUGAAAAACAGUUUUGGGAUGAGUUUUUUUUCUCGCUGCCAUUAUUCCUUAUUAGAGCAGUCAAACUGUUGUAGAGUUCCUGUAUAGUGCACUGUAUCCAUCCCCAGGUACAAGUUUUAAACUUCAAUGCAAUGCAACUGCAAUUCACAGAUUUUAGUUUGUUUGUUCAUUUGCUCUAAUAUUAAUAGUCUUAUUUAUAGAAUUGUAAUGAGUUCUUGUGGCUGUCUAGUGAAUAAACAGAGACACACAUUCUAACCAACAGUCCCAACAGCGGGUGCAAAGAUUUUGGUGUUGUGGGCGGAAUUUGUGACUGUCCACACACUGAGUUUGUGCAGAAAUGAGCAGACUUUUAUGGACUAAACGGUCCAUUGAAGAGGACUGUUGUUCACAGUUUGAAUGCACAGUGAGAAGCGUCAGGAUCUGUCUGCACACUGCAUUUCCUUCAUGUAUGCAAAAGCUUGUUUCCAUGGAUAAGCCGAUUGUGUCCCCUACCACUGGCUACAUGAUGUAACAUCAUAUCCAUAUCUAACAUAUCCGUCCUGCAUUCAUCUGUGUUUCGCCUCUUGUGAGAUUCUUGUGUUUGUUUGCUCCCAGCUGAAAAUACAUCACUGUAUGUCCUCUGCUUCCCAUACAAAUACAAACAAAAUGGGUUUUUGAUUUGUUAUUAAAGGUAAAGUGCAGAAAUUGGGAUUUGACAUGUGGUAGAAAACAAUAUUUGAGAGUAAGCUUGUAAAUGCAGUUGUGUCUCUAGAUUUCCUCUCAGUUUACCACAUUGUGCACUUUGUUUUAUGCUCCUUAUGUCUAUGUACUUUCAAAGUAGCACAAAGAGUCUCGCCUGUGCAGACGUGUCAAAAUCAAAGCUAGACAGCAGCCCUCCUACAUGAACUGGUCCUUAUCGAGUAAUUAUGUUAAGCGUAGCCAGUGUUAAGUGCUUUUUUUGUGCUGUAUUGUCCGUUUCUAUUGUAAAUUAUUGACUGACUUCUGUUUUAUAUGCCUUUUUGUAACUAAUGAUAACCACAAGCAUCAUCACAAUGCAAAAUAUUUUUUUUAUAUAAUCUUGUCUUCCUCUCUGUUUUUGUGUUGCGUCAUUGCACAACAAUUCACGCAGUCAGACAUGUAUCUUAUGUAUAAACACUGAGUGUGUUCGACACACUGAGAAUGUGCAUUUUUCUAUAUAAACAGAUUGUAAGUGGCAAA